UAAGGAAUAUUGGUCAAUGGACGCAAGUCUGAACCAGCCAUGCCGCGUGAAGGAUGAAGGUCCUCUGGAUUGUAAACUUCUUUUAUCUGGGACGAAAACGGGAUUUUUAUCUCAAUUGACGGUACCAGAGGAAUAAGCACCGGCUAACUCCGUGCCAGCAGCCGCGGUAAUACGGAGGGUGCGAGCGUUAUCCGGAUUUACUGGGUUUAAAGGGUGCGUAGGUGGGCUUAUAAGUCAGUGGUGAAAUCUCCGAGCUUAACUUGGAAACUGCCGUUGAUACUAUAGGUCUUGAAUUAUCUGGAGGUAAGCGGAAUAUGUCAUGGAGGGGUGAAAUGCUUAGAUAUGACAUAGAACACCAAUUGCGAAGGCAGCUUACUACAUAUAAAUUGACGCUGAGGCACGAAAGCGUGGGGAUCAAAC
rnacentral:rRNA from 1 species